rnacentral:misc_RNA from 1 species
UCUCCGUUGGUGAACCAGCGGAGGGAUCAUUACCGAGUACUACACUCAUAACCCUUUGUGAACCUUUAUAACCUGUUGCUUCGGCGGCGCGCCUCUCGGGGCGUGCCCGCCGGUAUCAUCAGAAUCUCUGUUCGAACCCGACGAUAUAUCUGAGUGUUCUAAGCGAACUGUUAAAACUUUCAACAACGGAUCUCUUGGCUCCAGCAUCGAUGAAGAACGCAGC